GACGAACGCUGGCGGCGUGCUUAACACAUGCAAGUCGAACGGAAAGGCCCUGCUUUUGUGGGGUGCUCGAGUGGCGAACGGGUGAGUAACACGUGAGUAACCUGCCCUUGACUUUGGGAUAACUUCAGGAAACUGGGGCUAAUACCGGAUAGGAGCUCCUGCUGCAUGGUGGGGGUUGGAAAGUUUCGGCGGUUGGGGAUGGACUCGCGGCUUAUCAGCUUGUUGGUGGGGUAGUGGCUUACCAAGGCUUUGACGGGUAGCCGGCCUGAGAGGGUGACCGGCCACAUUGGGACUGAGAUACGGCCCAGACUCGUACGGGAGGCAGCGGUGGGGAAUAGUGCACAGUGGGCGGAAGCCUGAUGCAGCAACGCCGCGUGGGGGAUGACGGCCUUCGGGUUGUAAACCGCUUUCGCCUGUGACGAAGCGUGAGUGACGGUAAUGGGUAAAGAAGCACCGGCUAACUACGUG
rnacentral:rRNA from 1 species